rnacentral:rRNA from 1 species
AGUGAACGCUGGCGGUAGGCCUAACACAUGCAAGUCGAACGGCAGCACAGUAAGAGCUUGCUCUUACGGGUGGCGAGUGGCGGACGGGUGAGGAAUACAUCGGAAUCUACUUUUUCGUGGGGGAUAACGUAGGGAAACUUACGCUAAUACCGCAUACGACCUACGGGUGAAAGCAGGGGAUCUUCGGACCUUGCGCGAUUGAAUGAGCCGAUGUCGGAUUAGCUAGUUGGCGGGGUAAGGGCCCACCAAGGCGACGAUCCGUAGCUGGUCUGAGAGGAUGGUCGGCCACACUGAACUGAGACACGGUCCAGACUCCUACGGGAGGCAGCAGUGGGGAAUAUUGGACAAUGGGCGCAAGCCUGAUCCAGCCAUACCGCGUGGGUGAAGAAGGCCUUCGGGUUGUAAAGCCCUUUUGUUGGGAAAGAAAAGCAGCAGGUUAAUACCCCGCUGUUCUGACGGUACCCAAAGAAUAAGCACCGGCUAACUUCGUG